rnacentral:rRNA from 1 species
GAUGAACGCUGGCGGCGUGCUUAACACAUGCAAGUCGAACGGAAAGGCCCAAGCUUGCUUGGGUACUCGAGUGGCGAACGGGUGAGUAACACGUGGGUGAUCUGCCCUGCACUUCGGGAUAAGCCUGGGAAACUGGGUCUCAUACCGGAUAGGACCACAUUUUGGAUGGUGUGGUGGAAAGUUUUUCGGUGUGGGAUGAGCUCGCGGCCUAUCAGCUUGUUGGUGGGGUAAUGGCCUACCAAGGCGUCGACGGGUAGCCGGCCUGAGAGGGUGUACGGCCACAUUGGGACUGAGAUACGGAGCAGACUCGAACGGGAGGCAGCAGUCGGGAGUAUUGCGUAGUGGGGGCAAGCGUGAUGCAGCGGCGCCGGGUGGGGGAUGACGGGCUUCGGGUUGUAAACUGCUGUCGCUAGGGACGAAGCGCAAGUGACGGUACCUGGAGAAGAAGCACCGGCUAACUACGUG